rnacentral:RNase_MRP_RNA from 1 species
UCCAAGGCAUUGCGACAGAAAGUCUCCGAACUGGAGUGUGCACGGAUAGCGCUAUUGCAGCAGCAGAUUCGAACCGGCACACAGGCCUUGGACGGGGCUGGUGA